CUUCGAUGCUUAAGUCAGUACUCUGCCUCAACAAAAAUAGAGCACUCGAAUAGAAUUUUAGUAGAGUUUCGAGAUAGAGUUCAGAGCUUAGAGAAGAACGUAUCUGGGGGUCUCCUUUUUGUAGAUGGAGAGCGUAACUGAUUGACAGCAAUGUCUGUAACUGCCUGGUCGUGGGCCGUUCAGGGCCUCACGGAGUUUGUUAUGGAGAGUAGUGGCAUCAGGGGGCCGUUCAGGGCCAUGUGGAGUUUGUUAUAAAGAGUGGAGUGAUGUCCGUUGUCACGACUUACCGGAGAGUUCGGACCGGAUGGCUGAAGCUUGACUGGGACGUCUGAUGGAGCGUGCUGGCUCUCUGUCUCAGUAAUCUAAGAGAGUCUCGGAUGUCACCGAGGUUGCUGACGAGUCCAUUGUUGUCGGGUGUCUCGGGUGCUGAUACUGCAGGCGAAAGUCAUCUGCCGUAGAAGCUCGGAUGGGGACUUUCUGUUGGAGAAGUCCGACAGGAGUCCGAUUGCUAGAGAAGUCCAUCUGUAUUUUGCCUGAUAUAGAAGCUCGUCUGAGGACUGUCCGCCAGAGAGGUCUGAUUUCAUGAGGAAUCCGAUAGAGGGUCGACCGACAGUGGAGUUUGGAUGGCAUUAUGGAGGUUCAUCCGCUGGAGGAGUCUUGAGGACACUAUGGAAGGUCGAAUGUUGGAGAAGUCCAAGAUUCAAUUCUAUUGUAGAAGCUCAAAUGGAGUCUGGCUCUUGUAGGAGUCUGGAGACAUCAUGGAAGGCCAGUCAUCAUGGAAGCUCGG
rnacentral:lncRNA from 1 species